rnacentral:rRNA from 1 species
AAAUUGAAGAGUUUGAUCAUGGCUCAGAUUGAACGCUGGCGGCAGGCCUAACACAUGCAAGUCGAACGGUAACAGGAAGAAGCUUGCUUCUUUGCUGACGAGUGGCGGACGGGUGAGUAAUGUCUGGGAAACUGCCUGAUGGAGGGGGAUAACUACUGGAAACGGUAGCUAAUACCGCAUAAUGUCGCAAGACCAAAGAGGGGGACCUUCGGGCCUCUUGCCAUCGGAUGUGCCCAGAUGGGAUUAGCUAGUAGGUGGGGUAACGGCUCACCUAGGCGACGAUCCCUAGCUGGUCUGAGAGGAUGACCAGCCACACUGGAACUGAGACACGGUCCAGACUCCUACGGGAGGCAGCAGUGGGGAAUAUUGCACAAUGGGCGCAAGCCUGAUGCAGCCAUGCCGCGUGUAUGAAGAAGGCCUUCGGGUUGUAAAGUACUUUCAGCGGGGAGGAAGGGAGUAAAGUUAAUACCUUUGCUCAUUGACGUUACCCGCAGAAGAAGCACCGGCUAACUCCGUGCCAGCAGCCGCGGUAAUACGGAGGGUGCAAGCGUUAAUCGGAAUUACUGGGCGUAAAGCGCACGCAGGCGGUUGUAAUCAGAUGUGAAAUCCCCGGGCUCAACCUGGGAACUGCAUCUGAUACUGGCAAGCUUGAGUCUCGUAGAGGGGGGUAGAAUUCCAGGUGUAGCGGUGAAAUGCGUAGAGAUCUGGAGGAAUACCGGUGGCGAAGGCGGCCCCCUGGACGAAGACUGACGCUCAGGUGCGAAAGCGUGGGGAGCAAACAGGAUUAGAUACCCUGGUAGUCCACGCCGUAAACGAUGUCGACUUGGAGGUUGUGCCCUUGAGGCGUGGCUUCCGGAGCUAACGCGUUAAGUCGACCGCCUGGGGAGUACGGCCGCAAGGUUAAAACUCAAAUGAAUUGACGGGGGCCCGCACAAGCGGUGGAGCAUGUGGUUUAAUUCGAUGCAACGCGAAGAACCUUACCUGGUCUUGACAUCCACAGAACUUUCCAGAGAUGGAUUGGUGCCUUCGGGAACUGUGAGACAGGUGCUGCAUGGCUGUCGUCAGCUCGUGUUGUGAAAUGUUGGGUUAAGUCCCGCAACGAGCGCAACCCUUAUCCUUUGUUGCCAGCGGUCCGGCCGGGAACUCAAAGGAGACUGCCAGUGAUAAACUGGAGGAAGGUGGGGAUGACGUCAAGUCAUCAUGGCCCUUACGACCAGGGCUACACACGUGCUACAAUGGCGCAUACAAAGAGAAGCGACCUCGCGAGAGCAAGCGGACCUCAUAAAGUGCGUCGUAGUCCGGAUUGGAGUCUGCAACUCGACUCCAUGAAGUCGGAAUCGCUAGUAAUCGUGGAUCAGAAUGCCACGGUGAAUACGUUCCCGGGCCUUGUACACACCGCCCGUCACACCAUGGGAGUGGGUUGCAAAAGAAGUAGGUAGCUUAACCUUCGGGAGGGCGCUUACCACUUUGUGAUUCAUGACUGGGGUGAAGUCGUAACAAGGUAACCGUAGGGGAACCUGCGGUUGGAUCACCUCCUUA